rnacentral:rRNA from 1 species
UGGGGAAUGAUUGCACAAUGGGCGCAAGCCUGAUGCAGCCAUGCCGCGUGUGUGAAGAAGGCCUUCGGGUUGUAAAGCACUUUCAGCGAGGAGGAAGGUGGUGAACUUAAUACGUUCAUCAAUUGACGUUACUCGCAGAAGAAGCACCGGCUAACUCCGUGCCAGCAGCCGCGGUAAUACGGAGGGUGCAAGCGUUAAUCGGAAUUACUGGGCGUAAAGCGCACGCAGGCGGUUUUGUUAAGUCAGAUGUGAAAUCCCCGGGCUCAACCUGGGAACUGCAUUUGAAACUGGCAAGCUAGAGUCUCGUAGAGGGGGUAGAAUUCCAGGUGUAGCGGUGAAAUGCGUAGAGAUCUGGAGGAAUACCGGUGGCGAAGGCGGCCCCCUGGANGAAGACUGACGCUCAGGUGCGAAAGCGUGGGGAGCAAACAGAUUAG